AGUGAACGCUGGCGGUAGGCCUAACACAUGCAAGUCGAACGGCAGCACAGUAAGAGCUUGCUCUUACGGGUGGCGAGUGGCGGACGGGUGAGGAAUACAUCGUAAUCUACUUUUUCGUGGGGGAUAACGGAGGGAAACUUACGCUAAUACCGCAUACGACCUACGGGUGAAAGCAGGGGAUCGUCGGACCUUGCGCGACUGAAUGAGCCGAUGUCGGAUUAGCUAGUUGGCGGGGUAAAGGCCCACCAAGGCGACGAUCCGUAGCUGGUCUGAGAGGAUGAUCAGCCACCCUGGAAGUGAGACACGGUCCAGACUCCUACGGGAGGCAGCAGUGGGGAAUAUUGGACAACGGGCGGAAGACUGAUCCAGCCAUACCGCGUGGGUGAAGAAGGCCUUCGGGUUGUAAAGCCCUUUUGUUGGGAAAGAAAAGCAGCAGGUUAAUACCCCGCUGUUCUGACGGUACCCAAAGAAUAAGCACCGGCUAACUUCGUG
rnacentral:rRNA from 1 species